AUGUGGUUCCAGGCAGGGCUCAGCGCCAGGAGCACAGCCAGCGGGGCACUGCGUGGGGAGGCUCUGGGUGACACCAGCAAAGGUCCAUUUGGAAAUAGAAGCACAGAGCUGCUGAAAUCCUCAAGAGAGGACGAGCAGCAGACCAGGAUCUCACAGACGAGCACGCAGAGGGGAGGGCGCAGAGGCCGCGGGCAGGCGGGAGAGCACGGGUCAGGUGCCCAGACCGCCUCCUGCCACCCUUGCCGAUGCAGGUCGGCAUGGAGGUCAGGAGUUCCCCGGGCAGGAAUGGGGGAAGCAAAAUCAAACACCCUGGACGGUACAGCCCGGCCCAGCCAGCCCCAAAACCCAGAGAGAGGAUGCUCCCAGAGGCUAUUUCACAUAAAACUCAUGCAAAGAAUCCAAACUCCCAUCAGCGUGUGGACGGUCGAGGGCUCGGUGCCAUCCCGGAUGGCGGGAGACCACGCGGCAGGAACGUGGUUGGGCUGCUGCCACGUGGGGGGCCCGGGGACCACCUGGCAUGGCUCUGAGGUGGGUAGAGGUCAGUCCAGGGAGCAUCCGCACCCAGGACAGAUGGACAAAGCUCGGGGCGAGACUCUUUGGGAGAAACGGCGGCCUCGGGGCCCCUCCGACUGUCCCCGAGCUACUGUGGCGGCACAGCCGCGGUUACAGGAUCUCUCUUCCUCCCCCACCCCCUCCCUUGUAGACUUGACACAGGAAGUAAGUGUGGGAAGGGGACAGCGAGAGCCCCAGAAGACAGCCCCCAGCCCGGGUGACGAAGCCCUAGGUCGCAGUGAUGGCUGUGGCCCCCCGACACAGUCGGGAUGUUAUGGGGGGGCCCUAAAGCAGAUGGUCCUGUCUCCGCCCCAGAAAACAGCAGCCUCUCUGCGGAGCCUGGGCAACUGGCCGUGGAGAAGCUGGACGGCGGCACCAGCACAGACAGGAGGCCCGAGGGCAGGGGAGGUGACGUGCCCCGUGGGACCCUGCGCAGCCGCGGGCACUGAGAGGGACACGGGGGAAAGCUGGCGACGUCCGAGUCCAGGCGGCACCGUCGAUUGGAUGGGUGCUCAGGCGAUGGGGCUGCGGCAGUGUCGGGGAGCCCCCCCCGCUGUCUCCACGCCCUGUGGGGGUGUCCGUGCAGGUGCUAACGCUGCACAGGGGGGGCGUGUGGUCAGGCCCCCCCGCGGCUGCAGAGGGCAGCAGGCUGUGGCUGGCCAGAGGCCAUGGGGCUGCAGGAUGUGGCGACAGGGACAGUGA
rnacentral:lncRNA from 1 species